rnacentral:rRNA from 1 species
GACGAACGCUGGCGGCGUGCUUAACACAUGCAAGUCGAACGAUGAAGCUGGAGCUUGCUCUGGCGGAUUAGUGGCGAACGGGUGAGUAACACGUGAGAAAUCUGCCCUUGACUCUGGGAUAACUGCGGGAAACUGUAGCUAAUACCGGAUACUUUCCCUGGUGGGCAUCCACUGGGGAAGAAAGAAUUUCGGUCAAGGAUGAUCUCGCGGCCUAUCAGCUUGUUGGUGAGGUAAUGGCUCACCAAGGCGACGACGGGUAGCCGGCCUGAGAGGGUGAGCGGCCACACUGGGACUGAGACACGGCCCAGACUCCUACGGGAGGCAGCAGUGGGGAAUAUUGCACAACGGGCGCAAGCCUGAUGCAGCAACGCCGCGUGAGGGAUGAAGGCCUUCGGGUUGUAAACCUCUUUUAGCAGGGAAGAAGCGAAAGUGACGGUACCUGCAGAAAAAGCACCGGCUAACUACGUGCCAGCAGCCGCCGUAA